UACGUAGGGGGCAAGCGUUGUCCGGAAUUAUUGGGCGUAAAGAGCUCGUAGGCGGCUUGUCGCGUCGGCUGUGAAAACCUGGGGCUCAACCCCGGGCCUGCAGCCGAUACGGGCAAGCUAGAGUGUGGUAGGGGAGAUCGGAAUUCCUGGUGUAGCGGUGAAAUGCGUAGAUAUCUGGAGGAACACCGGUGGCGAAGGCGGCAUCCUGGACCAACACUGACGCUGAAUAGCGAAAGCCAGGGGAGCAAACGGG
rnacentral:rRNA from 1 species